rnacentral:lncRNA from 1 species
UUUCUUUUUCACUUCUUUAAGAUUCAUGCGGUUGGGUUUAGUUGGAUUGGGCUAUCACAAAUGGUUUGGUAGGUGGACAAAAAGAUCAGCACUAAAGUAGGCCAUGGCAUUAAGCUAUUUUUAGUAUUAUUUGGCACCAUUCCAUGCUCUUUUGCACUAGGAGAAAUAAUCUGAGGACCAUGGACUAGAGGUGGUAUACAGGACAUCUUCCAUGUGGUUGUUAGUAAUGGCUG